rnacentral:rRNA from 1 species
AACGAACGCUGGCGGCAGGCUUAACACAUGCAAGUCGAACGCCCCGCAAGGGGAGUGGCAGACGGGUGAUUAACGCGUGGGAAUCUACCCAGUUCUACGGAAUAACCCAGGGAAACUUGGACUAAUACCGUAUACGCCCUACGGGGGAAAGAUUUAUCGGAAUUGGAUGAGCCCGCGUUGGAUUAGCUAGUGGGUGGGGUAAUGGCCUACAAAGGCGACGAUCCAUGGCUGGUCUGAGAGGAUGAUCAGACACACUGGUACUGAGACACGGCCCAGACUCCUACGGGAGGCAGCAGUGGGGAAUACUGGACAAUGGGCGCAAGCCUGAUCCAGCCAUGCCGGGUGAGUGAUGAAGGCCUUGGGGUUGUAAAGCUCUUUCCGUGGGGACGAUAAUGACGGUACCCACAGAAGAAGCCCCGGCUAACUUCGUGCCAGCAGCCGCCGUAAUAC